CGAUGUUAUCGUUGACAGGAUCGGUUUACUUUUAGCUGAACUCAACAAAUUAUGACGGCUACUUCUCAAUAUUAAUUUAUUACUUAAUAUUAUUUCGAUAACGGUCUUGUCGGCUUUAAUAUUGAAAUUACCUUCAUCACUGCCUUCGGACAUUUGUAAAUCCGCACUUUCGGACAUUACCAAUAAUGAAUUGGACUUAGGCCACUUUCAAACUAACUUCAAGUUGUACACGUUACUACGGUCAACAAAAAAUAAUUGACAAAUGGACUUAGGCCACUUUCAAAAUAAACGGCUCAUUUGUACCGUUUAUUUUGUUGCGGAUCGAACGGCUCGGAUUAUUCUUACGCUCAGCGACAUUAUGCACAAAACAGAAUUGCCUGAAAUAAAACGAGGACAGCUUCGACUAAUCUCGUGCACGGCGAACACACAAGAUCAUAUUCCGCGACUAUUUAUUAGCGCAGCGUAUUCUACCGCAUUCGCGCACGGUGUGUUGGACGUCCAUGUGUAAACAAUAUCUAGAUGUAUUCUGCGACUUAUCUCCUCACGAAU